rnacentral:rRNA from 1 species
GAUGAACGCUGGCGGCGUGCCUAAUACAUGCAAGUCGAGCGAACGGACGAGAAGCUUGCUUCUCUGAUGUUAGCGGCGGACGGGUGAGUAACACGUGGAUAACCUACCUAUAAGACUGGGAUAACUUCGGGAAACCGGAGCUAAUACCGGAUGAUAUUUUGAACCGCAUGGUUCAAAAGUGAAAGACGGUCUUGCUGUCACUUAUAGAUGGAUCCGCGCUGCAUUAGCUAGUUGGUAAGGUAACGGCUUACCAAGGCAACGAUGCAUAGCCGACCUGAGAGGGUGAUCGGCCACACUGGAACUGAGACACGGUCCAGACUCCUACGGGAGGAAGCAGUAGGGAAUCUUCCGCAAAGGGCGAAAGCCUGACGGAGCAACGCCGCGUGAGUGAUGAAGGUCUUCGGAUCGUAAAACUCUGUUAUUAGGGAAGAACAUAUGUGUAAGUAACUGUGCACAUCUUGACGGUACCUAAUCAGAAAGCCACGGCUAACUACGUG